UACGGGGGGGGCAAGCGUUGUUCGGAAUUACUGGGCGUAAAGGGCUCGUAGGUGGCCAACUAAGUCAGACGUGAAAUCCCUCAGCUUAACUGGGGAACUGCGUCUGAUACUGGAUGGCUUGAGUUUGGGAGAGGGAUGCGGAAUUCCAGGUGUAGCGGUGAAAUGCGUAGAUAUCUGGAGGAACACCGGUGGCGAAGACGGCAUCCUGGACCAAUACUGACACUGAGGAGCGAAAGCCAGGGGAGCAAACGGG
rnacentral:rRNA from 1 species